UCUAGGGUAUCAUUAUUGGAUUCUAUCAUAUCUCUUAGGCUAGAUAUUAUUCUAUUGGAGUUGUAAUCUUAUUAGGGUAAGGAAUUUACCUUCCCUACUAUUAUAAAUAAAGGCACAAUGGGGUGGCAUAACACACACCUCACAAUUACACAUCUCUCUCUUUUCUCUUGUUGUUGCCGCACACCCUCUUUCUAUCCUUUAUAUUGUUGAGUAAAUUAGUCCUACAACAAAUUUAUGAUUUUGCACUAAUUUUGUUAAACUUUCAUCUAAAAUUAUUAAGACAACAUGUAGAACUUCAAUUAGCCCAAAAAGAUUGUCAUUCAAUCCUUGUUAUUUAUUGAAUUUAUUAAUCACUACAUAAAUUCCCUCUUAUUUGUUCUGUAACAACCCGUCCCCAAUUAUUAAGAUUUUUAUGAUUUAAAAAAGUGAAUUUACGAAAAUGCCCUUCGAGACAAAGUGUUGACAUUUGUUGACUGCCGUGUCGUGUCACGUAAGGUUCAUUUUCUUGGCGUAUCCUCGUAGUACUUGUCGCUACGAACGCGUGGACGUGAACGGAUCGUGAUUUGGAGUUAUAACGAAAGAGAUAUUAACGAAUGAAGUCUAGGGCAAAAUUGUAAAUUGAUUUAUUUCCAGAAUGCUCCAGAUUUUUUGAGCAAAAUCUGGUGGAGCCACGUGUGUGGCCCAAAUUAAAAGAAAGAAAGAUGGUCGGUGGAGAUGGAGGAUAAAGGAGGAAAAGAGGGAGGAAUGAUGUGGUAAAAACUAACACACAAAUUAAACCCUUUUUAGACAGUUGUAGUAUGAGCAAGUAGGGAUCGUUCUAGGCUGGAGAUUAGGAGGGAUGCUAAUCUACACAAAUUUAACUCAAAAAUACAAAACUAGACUCCAAUGACUCAAAACUGACCAGACUGACUCCAAACAGCACAAAACAAACAAAUUGACUCAAAACAGGAACUAAAGGGUGAUUUGGACGAAUUCUAAACUUAACUUGACUCAAAAUACUAACGGGGGACAUGUUUGAAUGAAAUUUAAACUAAAACUAAGUAACUUGCAGAAAACAAACUAAUUGAUACGAAAUUGGGGUGAAUGAAGGGGGUGAAAGACUAGCUAGAUGAUUCUUCUCCAUACAUAAACCAUAUGCAUACAAAUCGAUUUCCAGUUAUUAUUCCUAUAAACCAUGAAUAACAAUGCCCCAAAUUAAUUGAGAACUGCACAAAUUAACUCUCAGAUUUUCUUAAGGUCAUUGAAUUGGACUCAGCGACGCAAUCAAAUUAUUCUUAUCAAGUUCCCUAUAUGAACAGUAUGAUAGAGAUACAUAUCAAAGAUCUUUAAGUUCUUUGAAAAUCAUAAGCAUUGACAAGGCAUUCGUAACUAUGAAUUGCAUGAUACUCCUGCCAGGAAUUUACUUAACAUAAUCAUGAUUAGUGACUUUUACUAGUAAAUAUAAGUUCAUAACGAUUAGGUGAAAUUCCCUUAUAUUCUAGCAUCAAAUCCCUGCAUGCAAACUAAGUAGGCCUCCUUGAUCAACAUACAAGAAUAAGUUAUUAAUCAAACAGAUAAGUAAAUUGCAUUCACGAUUUAUGAAACAAUAACUGGAUGUAAUCAAUUUAUAUCACACAUGUUUAUGGCUUUGAAUUCACCUCUAGCAAAAACGAAAUUAGUUCCACAUGUCUAUCAUAACUGAAAACCAAAUUAAAACAAACAUUGAACUAAAAACUAAAGACAGAAUACACCUAGAAAUGUUCCAACAAUCCAAAGGCCUUGGAUGGUAGGCACGGCACCAAGCUCUCAUUCCUUGCAAGCUACGACACUAUGUUUUUAUUCUCUGAAAACCAAGCUCUUGUGUGUGGGCUUUUUUUUUUUUUUUUUUUUUUUUUUUUUUUUUUUUUUUCAUUAUGCGGCACCUUUGAUUGUAUUUAUAGGCUGAGGGCACGACACAAAAGUUGUUUUAGAGAAGGAUUUGGCACCCCAAUCCCACAAGGAAAAGGCUAAUUAUACAGCAGAAACUAGGGAGGAUAAGGACUAGAAUACUCGACAGGUUCCUAGAAGAAAAGAUAGGGGCCUAUGUGGCACCUUUUUAGGAAAAGGGUGUGGCUUCUAGAACCAAGUUUUUAGGUGUCCUAAUCUGAAAAUAAUUCCCCCUUGCAGCUGGAAUUUAGGUAAAAUAGGAUUAGGAUGAGGUAAGAUAAGAUAAAGUUAGUUUGGAUAAUGUUUGGAUAAGGUUUUGGAUAAUGUUCCUUCCUUUUAGCUGAUUCCUUAUCUUAUAUGUCUUGAAUUAAUUUAUCCAUCUCUUUAGCACAUUCCUAGCCUCUUUUGAACUUCAAAAACAACCAUCCACCUCGCUCCAUGCAUGUGUUAUCCAUUCCAAGCCCAAAACUGCUCUAAAACGCUUCAAAAUGCCCUUCCUUGCCAACUUUGCCAUUUGGACCUACAAACACAUGAAAAUGGCUUAAAACACUAUAAUAAAUAGAAAGUAACUUACUAAAUGCAAAGGUACCAAAUCGUCCGGAGCUAUGACAAUCUGAUUAUAUCCCAAAUACCAUCAUGAAAGCAAUAAAACAAAUGACCAACUAACCUUUCAAGCAUUUGAUCAAUGAACGGCAGAGGGAAGUGAUCAUUCCUUGUGGUGGCGUUGAGCUUCCUAUAAUUGAUGCAAACUCUCCAACCUGUUUGGAUAGGGGUGGGCAUAAGUUCAUUCUCUUCAUUUUUCACCAUAGUGACUCCCGACUUCUUUGGAACAACUUGGAUCGGUGAGACCCACCGACUGUCCGAAAUUGGGUAAAUUACUUCACAAUCAAGAAGCUUGAUAAUCUCUUUCUUUACAACUUCCAUCAUUAGAGGGUUGAGUCGGCGUUGAGCCUCUCGAGACGGUUUAGCCCCUUCAUCCAAAAGUAUGCGAUACAUGCAUGUUGUAGGACUUAUCCCAUUGAUAUUGGCCAAGGUCCAUCCAAUGGCUGUUUUGUAUUCCUUCAACACCUUCACCUAUUUCUCCUCCUCUUCUGCUGUGAGUGUGGGAGAGACUAUGAUCGGCAAAGUCUCUUGGUCUCCUAAGAAAACGUACUUUAAAUGAUUUGGUAAUGGUUUAAGCUUGAGGGAGGGUGCCUAAAUCACUGAGGGUAACAACUUAUUAGAAGAAACAUGAAACGAAAUUGGGUUUGGAGGCUUACCAACAUGUUGUGGCAACGAUUCAAGGGCAGUUACCAUCUUGGCCACUUCUUCACAAAGAGGCACAACAAGGGCAUCCUCAUUCCUGCCGUGAGUGUGCACAAUUUCUGCCCCUUGGUUUUUGAGUCCCAUUCCUUUUGCAAUGGUAAUUUCAAGGGCAUCCCCAUUUAGGUCUUGAAGAUAUUCCUGCGGCAACUAAUCGAGUAUAUCAAUAGAAAAACAAGAGUGAUCAUCAAUAGGAUACCUAUGGCUUCAGAAAUAUUGAAAUCAAUAAUGUCGCCAUCAAAUUCCAUUGUCAACGUCCCCUUGAACAUAUCUAUCUUGGUGCGGGCUAUUUUCAUGAAAGGCCUUCCAAGUAGGAUCGGCAAUGGAGUAGAAUGGGCCAAAUCUUCCAUCUCAAGCAACAGCUUCUUGUCCUCUUUUUGGCUUGAUUUGGAUGUUUGUGGGUUGGUUCCAACCUCUUUGCUACUUUUUAAUGAUUGCCUUGGCGGUUUCAAAUCCUCCAUUUGGAUUUACAACGGUUGAACUAGGUAGUUUGCCUUGUUCUCUAAACUGUCCCAUGAAUUCCGCCACUUGCCCCAUUUGAUUCUUCAAUUCACCCACCUCUUUGGCUUGAUUUUGUAAUCCCUGCAUCAAUGAAGUUAGUAUUUGAAAAAUUUUAUCGUUAUCCAUUGACGAACCUGAAUUUGGUUGGGCAGAUUGUGGUUGAGGUUGUGUUGGUGCGAAUGGCCUUUGAAAUAUCCCGGGAGGUGGCUGUUUAAAUCCACCUUGUUGUUGAGUUUGUUGAGUCUCCCUCCACUUCAUAUUUGGGUGAUCUCUCCAGCCCGGAUUGUAAGUGUUGGAGUAUGGAUCAUACUUUGGCUGAUUGUGGCCUUAAUAACCUAUAGCAUUGGCACUUUCCCAUCCUUCAUUCUCUAUCAAUUGAGGACAUUGAUCAGAGGGGUGUCCUUGCAUAGAGCACAUGCCACAAACACUUGUUCCUUACACUUUGGAUCCUUCAACAACUUGUGAUAGAAGAACAGAAAAAUUAGCCAUUUGAGAUUGAAGUUCUAAAAUAGCACUUACCUCAUUCACUUGGGUUUGCAGUGGGGGGUCUCUUUGUCCAACUCCCUCGUAUUGUUGUGCAUUCAAGGCUUGGUUUGCUAUUAAGAUCUUUGCUGCAACUGGUGUUUUGUGAACCAAGGCACCUCCCACUAAAGCAUCAAGCAUUUGUCUCUUAAGUGGAAGUAGUCCUUCAUAGAAAUAUUGAAUUAAAAGCUCUUUCUUCAUGUGAUGUUGUGGGCAGGAUGCAACUAACGUUUUAAAACGCUCAUAGUACGCUGGAAAGGAUUCUCCCGGGCCUUGUUGAAUUCCACUAAUUUUCGUCCUCAAAAGAAUGACUUUUGAAGUUGGGAAGAAUUUAUCUAAGAAUGCUUUAUUCAUGCUUUCCUAAUAAGUAACGGUUCCAGGUGCUAGUUCAUAAAGCCAAUCUUUAGCCUUGUCUAUAAGAGGGAAUGUAAAGGCUUUCAUCUUCAAAAUAUUCCCAUCCACGUUGAUUGGGGUCAUGCUCGAACAUACCACUUCAAAUUCCUUCAAAUGCUUAUUUAGAUCUUCCAUGAACAGCCCAUGGAAUUUGGGAAUGUGAUGCAGCAGACUAGACUUCAAUUCGAACUCAUUGAUCUUGCCUUGAGCUGCCCUAGGGUAUUGAAUGCAAAGAGGAACAACAUUGCCCAACCCCGAGGCUGAAAGUUCUUUGAUUGUUUGAUUGUCCACAACCAUGUCUUGUUCCUCUUCUUCUUCUUCUUCUUCAAAUUCGGAUUCAGAACUAGAACUAGGUGGAUUGGGUUCUGGUUGCUUCCUUUUCCUUCUCAAAGUUCGUUCAAAAUCGUUGUCAAACUCCAAUAUAUGCUCACGAACAGGUGGAGAACUUUAAGUCAUAAACUAGCACCUAAAACAAAGAAACAAAACAAAAUAAAAUAAAAAACACAAGAAAAACAAAAAUAGACACAAAGGGGAAGAUUAGCAAUUUUGCUAAUCCCCGGCAACGGCGCCAAAAUUUGAUGUGGUAAAAACUAACACACAAUUAAACCCUUUUUAGGCCGGGGAUUAUGAGGGAUGCUAAUCUACACAAAUUUAACUCAAAAACACAAAACUAGACUCCAAUGACUCAAAAUUGACCAGACUGACUCCAAACAGCACAAAACAAACAAAUUGACUCAAACCAAGAACUAAAGGGUGAUUUGGACAAAUUCUAAACUUAACUUGACUCAAAAUACUAACGGGGGACAUGUUUGAAUGAAAUUUAAAACUAAAACUAAGUAACUUGCAGAAAACAAACUAAUUGAUACGAAAUUGGGGUGAAUGAAGGGGUGAAAGACUAGCUAGAGGAUUCUUCUCCACACAUAAACCAUAUGCAUACAAAUCGAUUUCCAAUUAUUAUUCCUAUAAACCAUGAAUGACAAUGCCCUAAAUUAAUUGUGAACUGCACAAAUUAACUUCAGAUUUUCCUAAGUUCAUUGAAUUGGACUCAGCGACGCAAUCAAAUUAUUCUCAUCAAGUUCCCUAUAUGAACAGCAUGAUAAAGAUACAUAUCAAAGAUCUUUAAGUUCUAUGAAAAUCAUAAGCAUUGACAAGGCAUUCGUAACUAUGAACUGCAUGAUACUCCUGCCAGAAAUUUACUUAACACAAUCAUGACUAGUGACUUAUACUACUUAUAAAUAUAAGUUCAUAACGAUUAGGUGAAAUUCCUUUAUAUUCUUGCAUCAAAUCCCUGCAUGCAAACUAAGUAGGCCUCCUUGAUCAAAGCUCUCCUAGAUUCAUAGAUACAUAAACAGAAUAUGGCAUGACAUUAAUUGAUGCACCUAGAUCUAGCAUAGCAUGUUUAAACCUCGUAUUUCCAAUAACACAAGGGAUAGUGAAACUACCUAGAUCUUUGCAUUUGGGUGGCAGCUUCCUUUGCAACAUUGCAGAGACAUUCUCAUUCACAUGUACCACCUCUUUCUCCCGAAUCCGAUUCCUUGUUGUGCAAAGCUUCUUUAAAAACUUAGUGUACUUCGGGAUUUGUUUGAUGGCAUCUAAGAGUGGAAUAUUGACUUGUACUUUUCUGAAUGUUUCAAGGAUGUCUUUUUCACUUUCUUCGUUCUGUGUUUGCAUGAACCUGCGAGGGAAAGGUGCAUUUGGUGGAAUAACGUUAGAAUUAACCAAAUUGGAACCUUUCUUACAUGUGGUGGACAUAUUGGAUGGAUUAGGGAGUGUAGGAGUGCACGACAAGGUUGUUUCCUUCCUUGCCGUGGGUGUGUGUUGGACAUCCUCCUCUUGUUGCAGCUUCUCGUCCUCCAUUUGGGCAGAUUUUGAUGGUUGGGGGUCCGUUCCAACUUCUUUUUCACUUUUCAAGGUAAUGGCCUUUACGGAUUCAAAUCCUCCCCUUGGAUUCACAAUGAUUGUGCUAGGUAGUUUGCCUUGCUCUUUGAUUUGCCCCAUGAACUCCGCCAUUUGGCCCAUUUGUUUCUUCAAUUCAUCCACCUCCUUAGCUUGAUUAAGCAUUGUUUUAUUUUGAUUUUGCUGCCCCUGCACUAAGGAAGUUAGUAAUUGAACAAUUUGAUAAUUAUCCAUGGAUGUACCUGAAUUGGUUUGGGUAGAUUGUGGUUGGACUUGAGUGGGUACAUAUGGCCUUUGAUACAUCCCAGGGGGUUGUGGCCGAAAUCCUCCUUGUUGGGCAGAUUGUUGUGGUUCUUUCCACUUGAAAUUUGGAUGAUCUCUCCACCCUGGAUUGUAAGUGUUAGAGUAGGGGUCAUUAUGUUGCUGAUUGUGGCCUUGAAAACCCAUGGCAUUGGCAGAUUCCCACCCUUCAUUCUCGAUCAAUUGAGGGCACAUAUCCGUGAGAUGUCCUUGCAUUAAGCACAUGCCACAAGCAGCUACACUUUGUAGCUUUGGUAUUUCAACCACCUGUGAAAGAAGAGUAGUAAGAUUAGCCAUUUGAUUUUUAAGUUCGAAAAUAGCACUUACCUCAUUAACAUGUUGCUGCAUUGGGAUGUCUAUUUGAUCAACGCCUUCAUAUUGAUGAGCAUUCAAUGCUUGGUUAGCAAUUAAGGUCUUGGCAGCCAUGGGUGUUUUGUCCACCAAAGCUCCUCCCGCUGAGGCGUCUAGCAUUUGGCGUUCAAUUGGUAGAAGCCCUUCGUAGAAAUAUUGAAGAAGAAGCUCCUCCUUCAUUUGAUACUGUGGACAUGAAGCAAUAAGGGUUUUAAAACGUUCAUAGUAAGUGGGAAAUGAUUCACCUUGGUUUUGCUGAAUGCCACUAAUCCUUUUGCGUAGUAAAAUGACUCGAGAAGUUGGGAAAAACUUCUCCAAAAAUGCCCGUUUCAUACUCUCCCAUGAUGUGACAGUUCCGGGGGCUAGUUCAUACAACCAAUCUUUAGCCUUUUCCAAGAGAGAAAAGGGAAAAUCCUUCAUUUUCAGAAUGCUCCCAUCAACAUUCACAGAGGUCAUGCUCGAACAAACAACCUCGAACUCUUUCAAAUGUUUAUUAGGAUCUUCCAUAGACAACCCAUGGAACUUAGGAAUAUGGUGCAAUAAACUGGACUUUAAUUCGAACUCAUCGGUCUUUCCUUGGGCAGCCACGGGGUAUUGAAUGCAAAGUGGUGCGGCAUUGUCCAAUCCCGAAGUAGAAAGCUCCUUGAUUGUUCGAUUGUCCGCUGCCAUGUCUUGUACUUCUUCAAAAAUCUGAGCCGGUUGAGGUGGUUGGGGUUCUUGUUGAUUCCUUGCUCGUCUCAAAGUUCGUUCAAAAUCGUCGUCAAAGUCAAGGAUGUGCUUAUGAACAGGUUGAGAACUUCGAGUCAUAAACCACCUAAAACAAGAAAACAAGUAAAGUCAUCAACUAGGAACAAAAACACAUGAAAAUAAACAAAAAGAAAUAACAAGGGAUUAGCAAAGUUGCUAUUCCCCGACAACGGCGCCAAAAACUUGAUGCGAAAAUUAUCUUAACACACAAAUUUAACCCUCUUUUAACAACUGUAGUAUAAGUAUAAGUAGGGAUCGUUCUGGACCGGGGAUUAGGAGGGCUUGCUAAUAACCUCUAAAAAAACAUAAAACUAAACUUAAAAAUACUAAACAAGACUCACAAGACUCAAAGCAAACUUCAAAUACUCAAAACAGCUUAAAACAACUAAAUAAACUUAAACUAGACACUAGGAAUGCCUUUGGAUGAAAAUUGACUUUUACUUCAAUAAAAACAUUUAAAAACACAAAUUAAAACAGAUUCUAACAAAUUAGACACACUAAAGUAAAGGGGGAUUGAGUUUUGGACGAAGUUGAAACAAACAAACAAGUAUGACAAACUAGACAAAUUGUAAAACAAAUUUGAGAAAUAAGAUGAUGAAUGGGAUAGCUAGAGGCUUUUUCUCCACACAUAACAUGUAUGCAAAUAACUCGAUUUCCAGUUACUACUUCAUUGAAUUAUGAACGAUAAUGCUCCAAAUUAAUCGUGACAUCACUAGUUAACUCUAAGAUUUUCCUUGUUUUAUUGGAUUAGAUGACAUCAUUCGACAACCCAAAACAUUCUUCUAAAGUUCCCUACAUGACAUCAUAAUAGAGAUACAAUCAAAGAUCAUUACGUUUAAUGAAAAUCAUAAGCAUUGACAAAGCACUUGCAACUAUGACAUCAUGUCACUCAUGCUAGGAAUUGAACUUAACGCGAUCGUUUAUAAGCGACCUUCACUACAUGUGAAUAUAAGUUUGUAACGAUUAUGUGAAACUUCCUUAUAUUCUAGCAACGGAUUUAUGCAUGGCAAUUAAGUGUCGACCCUUAAUUAACAAAUACAAAUAAGUUAUCAAUCAAAUAGUUAAGCCAAUUGCAUUCACGAUUCAAGAGUUCGUAACUGGAAUUUAUCAAAUUAUAUUGCACACAUAAUCAUGGCUUUGAAAUCACCCCUAGCCAAGAGGGGUUUAACCACUCAUAUUUACAACAAAACGAAAGGAAAUGAAUUUAAACAUUAGAAACAAAAGAAAGAAAACACCUAAACGCUCCAACGAUCCAAGUUGGACAGCAAGCACGUCUAAGCACUUUCCUUCCCUUCCUUUGCUACGGCACAAGGCGUUGGUGAGUGUUUGAAGGUUUGUUUGUAUGGAGGAAUAGAUGUGAAGAUGAAUGGAUGUGUUUGGAUGAAGGUUGUGUUGAAAUGGUUAUGAAUGAUCUAACCAAGUAUGAACUAAAUUUAUGUUACACACACUUCAUUUUAUAGAGGAAGUGCAUGGCAAUGGAGGGGAACAUGGGGUGGUGUAGCAACUGAGUGCAAUGAUGCAUGAAAUUUGAAAUGAUGGAGGGAACAAGGAAUGGUGUAGCAAUUGAGUGCAAUGAUUCAAUGUAAUGAUGCAUGAAUCUGAAAUGAUGGAGGGAACAAGGAAUGGUGUAGCAAUUGAGUGCAAUGAUUCAAUGUAAUGAUGCAUGAAAUCUGAAAUGAUGGAGGGAACAAGGAAUGGUGUAGCAAUUGAGUGCAAUGAGUGGUGUUUGAAAUGAUUCAAAGGUGAAAGUGAAGUGAUGAUGCAAAGCAUAUGGGUAAAAUGGAGUGGUGUUGCAGCUAGGGAACAUGAAUGAUUGUGCACAUGGUAGAGAAAUGAAAGGGAGGUGGAAUGAUGGAACAAAUGAGUCAAUGGAGGGAACAUGGAUGAUGAUGCACGACAAUGAUGGAAAGGUGAAUGGUGGAGUGACACCCCUUGUGGCUGAGCUCUUUGUCCUUUUCACAUUAAUUCUUCUUUCUAUUUAACACAUUCCUAGCCUCUUUAGUCUUCAAUUUCGUCCAUCCACCUUUCUCCAUGCAUGUGCUAUUCAUUCCAAGCCCAAAAUUGCUCCAAAAUGCACCAAAAUGCAUCUUAUUGCUUCAUAAGGCCUAUGGACCUACAAACACACAAAAAUAGCUUAAAAUACAUAAUUAACUAAGAAAUAACAACAUAAAUGCAUGAGAACAAGCUAACUCAGUCGCAUAAAUAUGCUCCUAUCAAAUGGCAGGCUAUGUUUUUAUUCUCUAAAAACCAAGCUCUUGUGUGUGGUUUUUUUUUUUUUUCAUUAUGUGGCACCUUUGAUUGUAUUUAUAGGCUGAGGGCAUGACACAAAAGUUGUUUUGGAGAAGGAUUUGGCACCCCAAUCCCACAAGGAAAAGGCUAAUUAUACGGCAGAAACUAGGGAGGAUAAGGACUAGAUUACUCGACAGGUUCCUAGAAGAAAGGAUAGGGGCCUAUGUGGCACCUUUUUAAGAAAAGGGUGUGGCUUCUAGAACCAGGUUUUUAGGUGUCCUAAUCUGAAAAUAAUUCCCCCUUGCAGCUGGAAUUUAGGUAAAAUAGGAUUAGGAUGAGGUAAGAUAAGAUAAAGUUAGUUUUGAUAAUGUUUGAAUAAGGUUUUGGAUAAUGUUCCUUCCUUUUAGCUGAUUCCUUAUCUUAUAUAUCUUGAAUUAAUUUCUCCAUCUCUUUAGCACAUUCCUAGCAUCUUUUGAACUUAAAAAAUGUCCAUCCACCACACUUCAUGCAUGUGCUAUCCAUUCCAAGCCCAAAACUGCUCUAAAACGCUUCAAAAUGCCCUUCCUUGCCAACUUUUCCAUUUGAACCUACAAACACACGAAAAUGUCUUAAAACACUUUAAUAAAUAGAAACUAACUUACUAAAUGCAAAGAAACAAGCUAACUAAGAAGAAACUAACUUACUAAAUGCAAAGAAACAAGCUAACUAAGUCGCAUAAUUAUGCUCCUAUCAAGGAACAUGACGAAUGAGGAAGAGAGAAAAGGAGGAGAACCAAUGGGAAAAGAGGA
rnacentral:lncRNA from 1 species